rfam:Bacillus circulans strain RIT379 contig20, whole genome shotgun sequence.
CGUGCUCUACAACCGCACAUAGCAGGUAAUGAAGCUUUUGCUUUUGCAAAACGCCUGUCAUUGGCGAGUCUUAGUCUAUUA